rnacentral:rRNA from 1 species
AAACCGAUGGACAACAGGUUGAAAUUCCUGUACCUUAAGUAAACAGAACUGUGGGGACACGUGUGGAGAGCACAAGCCGGAAAUGGAAAAGCCGGUGCAAGCGAGGUAGGAGUACAGUAGGCAAAUCCGCUGUACAAUCCGAAGACGUGAUGCGGACCGAAUUAAGAGUAGGGAAGUGUGUGAGCCAUGCGUCAAGAAAAGCCGCUAUUGUUUUACUUAAGCCCGUACCGUAAACCGACACAGGUGGAUGAGGAGAGAAUCCUAAGGCCGACGGGAGAAGCAUUGUUAAGGAACUCGGCAAAAUGACUCCGUAACUUCGGGAGAAGGAGUGCCAGCGAGAGCUGGCCGCAGAGAAUUGGCCCAAGCAACUGUUUAGCAAAAACACAGGUCUAUGCAAAACCGUAAGGUGAAGUAUAUGGGCUGACGCCUGCCCGGUGCUGGAAGGUUAAGAGGAGAGGUUAGCGGUAACGCGAAGCUUUGAAUUUAAGCCCCAGUAAACGGCGGCCGUAACUAUAACGGUCCUAAGGUAGCGAAAUUCCUUGUCGGGUAAGUUCCGACCCGCACGAAAGGCGUAAUGAUUUGGGCACUGUCUCAACAAUGCACCCGGUGAAAUUGAAAUACCAGUGAAGAUGCUGGUUACCUGCGCCAGGACGGAAAGACCCCAUGGAGCUUUACUCCAGCUUGAUACUGGGAUUCGGUAUUGCAUGUACAGGAUAGGUGGGAGGCUAGGAAGUGAUAACGCCAGUUGUCACGGAGCCGCUGUUGGGAUACCACCCUUGCAGUAUUGGAUUUCUAACCAGCGACCAUGAACUGGUCGGGGGACAAUGUCAGGUGGGGAGUUUGACUGGGGCGGUCGCCUCCGAAAGGGUAUCGGAGGCGCUCAAAGGUUCCCUCAGAAUGGACGGAAACCAUUCGAAGAGUGCAAAGGCAGAAGGGAGCUUGACUGCGACACCGACGGGUGGAGCAGGUACGAAAGUAGGACUUAGUGAUCCGGUGGUAUAAAGUGGGAUUGCCAUCGCUCAACGGAUAAAAGCUACCCUGGGAUAACAGGCUUAUCACUCCCAAGAGUUCACAUCGACGGAGUGGUUUGGCACCUCGAUGUCGGCUCAUCGCAUCCUGGGGCUGAAGUAGGUCCCAAGGGUUGGGCUGUUCGCCCAUUAAAGCGGUACGCGAGCUGGGUUCAGAACGUCGUGAGACAGUUCGGUCCCUAUCCGGCGUGGGCGUAGGAUAUUUGAGAGGAGCUGUCCUUAGUACGAGAGGACCGGGAUGGACUGGCCGCUGGUGUAUCUGUUGCAUACCAAAUGCAUGGCAGAGUAGCCAAGCCGGGACGGGAUAAACGCUGAAGGCAUCUAAGCGUGAAGCCCCCCUCAAGAUGAGAUAUCCCUACGUAAGUAGUAAGACCCCUUGAAGACGACGAGGUAGAUAGGUCAGAGGUGGAAGUACAGUAAUGUAUGGAGCUGACUGAUACUAAUCGGUCGAGGGCAUGACCAA